rnacentral:lncRNA from 1 species
AUUUAGCAUGUUUAAAUAUAAAAACUCAUCAGAUAUGCUUAUUUGCAAUAUAUCCUGUUUUGAUAACAAAAAAUCGAAAAGAUCGAUAAUUAACUCGACUUUUAACAGAUGGCUUGUGCACUGGUGGUAAGCGGAUAGUCGUAACUUAAAGUUACGACCAUCCGAAAAUGGGAGACAACUCUAGGGAUAAAUUUUUCUUUUCCGAUUUUCGUGCAGUAAAAGACUUAUUUGAGCCAAACCGCUUGUCUCAUACAAACUAAUCGUCAGUGCGUUGAUAUUGCAACAAACAGUUAUCAAAGGUACCAGGAUUAUAAUUUUGUACGCCAGACGCGCGUUUCGUCUACAUAAGACUCAUCAGUGACGCUCAUAUCAAAAUAUGUAUACAGCCUGGUGGUAAACUGGUACAAAGUUGAAGACCAUUGAGGAUCCAAAAUUCAUAAAAGUUGUGCCAAAAACGGCUAAGGUAAUCUAUGCCUGGGAUUAGAAAAUCCUUAGUUUUACGAAAAUUUCAAAGUUUUGUUAACAGGAAAUUUUUAAAAAUGACCACAUUAUUGAUAUUCAUGUCAACACCGAAAUGUUGACUACUGGGCUGGUGAUACCCUCGGGGACGAAACGUCCACCAGGAGUGGCAUCGAUCCAGUGGUGUAAAUAGUUAUCAAAGGUACCAGGAUUAUAAUUUUAUACGCCAGACGCCAAAAUUUGAUACAUAAAAACAUUCCAAUUUUCGUAAAAUUGUCAUCCAGUAAUUCGAGCAUGAUGAUCCACC